GACGAACGCUGGCGGCGUGCUUAACACAUGCAAGUCGAACGGAAAGGCCCUGCUUUUGUGGGGUGCUCGAGUGGCGAACGGGUGAGUAACACGUGAGUAACCUGCCCUUGACUUUGGGAUAACUUCAGGAAACUGGGCUAAUACCGGAUAGGAGCUCCUGCUGCAUGGUGGGGGUUGGAAAGUUUCGGCGGUUGGGGAUGGACUCGCGGCUUAUCAGCUUGUUGGUGGGGUAGUGGCUUACCAAGGCUUUGACGGGUAGCCGGCCUGAGAGGGUGACCGGCCACAUUGGGACUGAGAUACGGCCCAGACUCCUACGGGAGGCAGCAGUGGGGAAUAUUGCACAAUGGGCGGAAGCCUGAUGCAGCAACGCCGCGUGCGGGAUGACGGCCUUCGGGUUGUAAACCGCUUUCGCCUGUGACGAAGCGUGAGUGACGGUAAUGGGUAAAGAAGCACCGGCUAACUACGUG
rnacentral:rRNA from 1 species